UACGUAGGGUGCAAGCGUUAAUCGGAAUUACUGGGCGUAAAGCGUGCGCAGGCGGUUUGUAAGUCUGUCGUGAAAGCCCCGGGCUCAACCUGGGAAUUGCGAUGGAGACUGCAAGGCUUGAAUCUGGCAGAGGGGGGUAGAAUUCCACGUGUAGCAGUGAAAUGCGUAGAUAUGCGGAGGAACACCGAUGGCGAAGGCAAUCCCCUGGACCUGUACUGACGCUCAUGCACGAAAGGCGUGGGGAGCAAACGAGG
rnacentral:rRNA from 1 species